rnacentral:rRNA from 1 species
GUGAGGAAUUUUCCGCAAUGGGCGAAAGCCUGACGGAGCAAUGCCGCGUGAAGGAUGAAGGCCUAUGGGUUGUAAACUUCUUUUCUCAGAAAAGAAUUAUGACGGUAUCUGAGGAAUAAGCAUCGGCUAACUCUGUGCCAGCAGCCGCGGUAAGACAGAGGAUGCAAGCGUUAUCCGGAAUGAUUGGGCGUAAAGCGUCUGUAGGUUGUUUAAAAAGUAUUCUGUCAAAGAUUAGGGCUUAACCCUAGAUAGUCAGAAUAAACUUUUAAGCUAGAGUUUGGUAGAGGCAGAGGGAAUUCCCGGUGGAUCGGUGAAAUGCGUAGAUAUCGGGAGGAACACCAAAGGCGAAGGCACUCUGCUGGGCCAAUACUAACACUGAGAGACGAAAGCGAGGGGAGCAAAUGGGAUUAGAUACCCCUGUAGUCC